rnacentral:rRNA from 1 species
UACGUAGGGGGCUAGCGUUGUCCGGAUUUAUUGGGCGUAAAGAGCGUGUAGGCGGCUUGAUAGGUCUGCUGUGAAAACUCGGGGCUCAACCCCGAGAUGUCGGUGGAAACCAUCUGGCUAGAGUCCGGAAGAGGAGAGUGGAAUUCCAGGUGUAGCGGUGAAAUGCGUAGAUAUCUGGAGGAACACCGGUGGCGAAGGCGACAUCCUGGACCAACACUGACGCUGAGGAGCGAAAGCCAGGGGAGCAAACGGG